UUGGUUUUUCAAGCGGAGAAGUCAACGGUGCAUGACAAGGCCAGGUCAUUUUCAAUGACCAAAAGCCCGAAGCGUUUGGCUGGACAAAAAUCUGGGCAGAACAGUGGGCCCAAUGGCAUGCUGGAGCCAACACGGCCUCUAAAUGGCCCUUUGGUUUCAUCGCUUUAGGCAGCUGAAAAUGGGAACACGCAAACAAAUCAGAAUUCAGCCGAAAUUAUUUCGAAGGCCUUACAGGAAUAAAAAAGCUAGGGGGUUUGGGGCCACGGGUUUUCGGAGCAGAAUGGGGGUGUUUUAAACGACCUUGCAUACAUUGGAGAAGCUGUUGUGCUAGAAUCUCAUGGAAUUAUUAGUCAGAUUUCUUUUAACCCUCCUAUUAAUUUUGAAUGCAACGUACCUUUCUCUUUUUCUGUUCCAAGUAAUUCACUAUCGGGUAAAUAGGCUCUCAUGCCAACUGAACAAAUUGAUGUUGUUAAGACCCAUUUUAAUCCAACUUUUGAAGGACCUAAAGGCGAUAUAGCCCAGUUGACCGGAGGCGUCCUGGACCCAGGUAAGAAUUCUGCAGUGAUUUUUAGAGAUAAUUCUCAACAAAAUUCGUCCGGGUUUGCUGUCAGGUAUAACACAGAGACUACAGGAGUUUCUUCUUCAGACGCUAAAAAUAAGAGCACUAUUGGCAAAUUCAAUGUAAUCCGUGGUGGUUGAAAAUCGACCAACGGUUUAAAGGGACGGGGAAGCCAUUUUAAAUCUUUUAGAAAUUAUCGGCUUCACUUAGCUGAGUCCAUGGAGGCAGUAGUAGAACUAUUAUCUUCUCAGAUGACUGUUGACACAGAAAGUGAAAUGAAAUGAGUAGCAGUUUCAGAAUCGAAUGGGGUUUCUGUCCAUCAAUAGUAAGGUUUCUUGGACUCGACUUUUUGCGUAUUCGGGACCGUCAUCGAAGUCAUCACACCGGCUAACAACUUUUGGUAUUUUCUUCGUAGUUGGUCUUGGAGUACAUUACGACAUGUAUAGGCUAUUAUGUUUGUUUGAACUUGGUAUGUAAAAUUUUGAAUAGCCAUGCGAAAAUGGCGUAUAAAUGUUUUGAGCAUAAUGUUAUAAUCAUUUGGUAUGUAUAUGCUCAUUAAGAAGCACGGAAAUGUUUGGCAAUGACCAGCCAUUAGAAUGGGUCAUCAUGAUUAUAUUUUGGACUAUAUAUGAAAAAGGGGUGGUUGAAUCAUAGAAA